rnacentral:rRNA from 1 species
AUUGAACGCUGGCGGCAGGCCUAACACAUGCAAGUCGAACGAGUGGCGGACGGGUGAGUAAUGUCUGGGAAACUGCCUGAUGGAGGGGGAUAACUACUUGAAACGGUAGCUAAUACCGCAUACCAUCAGAUGUGCCCAGAUUGGAUUAGCUUGUUGGUGGGGUAACGGCUCACCAAGGCGACGAUCCCUAGCUGGUCUGAGAGGAUGACCAGUCACACUGGAACUGGGACAAGGGCCAGAAUCCGACGGGAGGCAGCAGUGGGGAAUAUUGCACAAUGGGCGCAAGCCGGAUGCAGCCAUGCGGGGUGUAUGAAGAAGGCCUUCGGGUUGUAAAGUACUUUCAGCGGGGAGGCGUUACCCGCAGAAGAAGCACCGGCUAACUCCGUGCCAGCAGCCGCGGUAAUAC